GCGUCCCCCGUCAACAUCCACCUCCUUAAUUCACAUCGAAUUCAUCCGAACAUUCACCAUUAAUAAUCAUUCGUCGGUAUACAUAUUCUAGAGUGAAUUCGAAGGGAAUUCGGCGAUCGAAUUCACGUAAAUCAAUAAUCAACAAUUCAUGCUCAAUCGUAACUUCCUCCAAUUUCCAUCAAACUUCAUGUAUAAGCUUCUAAUAUCAUUAAAGAAUUUAUGGAACUAAAACGGUAAUUAAAACGUAGUUCUACGCGCCACCACGCGCUACCUACAGUGGCGGCGCGUGGUCCCCACGCGCCGGCAGCCACUUCCUCCGAUGACAACCAAACUCCGGCACUAGCAUCUACACAAUAAGCCCAACCAACUUCCCAACUACAACAUCAUCCAAUUUUACCUCGAAGUGGUUGAAUCAAGCCGGUGAAGAAAAGCCGGAAACUUCAAGAACCCUAAAAAUGGAAAAUUGUCAAUUCGAUAUCUACACUGCAAAUUGGAUUGAACUACCUUAGGGGAAAUGAUCACCAUCAAAAACCGAACCUUCGAUGCUAACCUGGUGGCCGGAAUGGUCGGAAAUCGGCGAAACCCCAAAACUGCAACCGGAGCAAACCUUGAUUCGAUCCGAGCUUUUCCGGCCAAAUCGUCGAAAACUAAGGGCACCAGCGUGACCAGGGGGAGGAGGCGACCCUGUGGUGGCCGGCUUUCUGCCGGGUGAUGGCCGGACGGCGGCCAAUCG
rnacentral:lncRNA from 1 species